GGAUGUAAUCAUUCCAGUAGUAAACCAACGGAGCCCAUCAGAACUCCAAAGUUAAGUGUGCUUGGGCGAGAGUAGUACUAGGAUGGGUGACCUCCUGGGAAGUCCUUGUGUUGCAUUCC
rfam:Triticum aestivum genome assembly, contig: Triticum_aestivum_CS42_TGACv1_scaffold_019500_1AS